AAUCAGGGCCCAAUCAGCUGACUGUCAGCUGGGACGGGCUGGCUUAACCCUUCCUGCGCCGCUGCCUACCCGGGAGGGAACGAGGCCCGGCGCAAAGUUUGGUGUAAGAGGGGAAGGAGUUUUUCCAGAGGGGCUUCGGCAAUCCGGGCGGACCUGGGAGGGCGGUUUGCUUUUCUUUGGAGCGCGAGACAGGCCUCCCAUCCGGAGCCCCAGCUCGCUGGGGGCUCACUCGGCUGGGAUUGGCCUGAUUCCCCUCCCCUGCCUGCCCUCCACCCCCAGGAUUGUGAAUUCGCCUCCCAGCUUUUCCUCCUCGCACCAACUCUGGUACCCAGGUGUCUGCCGGGGACCUUCCUUCCCUGAGCCUGGCCGUGCCCGGCGCUCAAACUUGGCCCCAACUCUUUGUCCGUCUCUCGGGCGCCCGUGCGGGGAAGGGACCGGGAAGGGAGGGAUGCAGUGGGGUGUCCGGAUCGGGGCUGCGGGCUGGGCGCCGCCCGGCCAUGCGCCUGCCCAGAAGGCUGGGCAUCCGUGGAGAGGGAAAGCCCAUUUUAUCCCUCUCUUUACAACGAGGUAAAAUAAGUUGUUUAGAGGCCAUUCUUCACGGAGACCGGCUGCCCGCUGGCGUCGCGUGCCCUUGGACAGAGCGAGCGCCUAUGCGAGAUAACUCCGGGGAAGCUCAAAGUCAGGUCAGCCGGGCUCAGCCUUCCGGCUCCUGACUGGCCGGAGUUUGGCCUUUGAGACUCAUAUUGCGCGCUCGCUCUCUCUCUCUCUUACACACACACACACAAACACACACACACUCACACUCACCCGUCCCCUUACGAAAUCUGACCUCUGUUUAUCAGGGUCAGGCGCGCCCUUUGCACUUUUACGUUUCCUUUAAUUAUUUCGGACUUGAUCGUGGCAGGGAGCAAGGGGGAAAAACAAUACCCCAGCCCUCACCAGCUACCCUCGAAGGGUUAAAUUUUAAACCGCGGUUUCUGGAACUAGUCCGGAAACGCAGAGUGGGGGGUGGGGUGGGGGAGGCUGCUCCCCCCACCCCCAGUUGCAAAUGCUAAUAAGUAGUUCAAAUUUCUAGAUUGAUUCUCUAAAAGUUUAUGCAAAAAAGAAAUAAAAAAGAAAAAGAAAAAAGAAGGAAACCAACAACUAACUCUGUUUCUAAGAUUUUAAAGCGAUAGGCAAGUCGAAGAAGCAGAGAUUUAUUUGGAGAGAAAGCUCCUGAAACCGACCCAGCCUUUGGAAGACCAGCCCGUCUGCUUAGAAGUUGGGACUGUUGAUUCCUUCAAUUAAUGAAAUGCAUUUGGUGUUUUUAAUCGUAUUUAUUUUACUUUAUGAGAAGGGGGAGACGCUAGGAGGGUGCAUUAAAAAAAAAAAAAAAUUCUGAAAAGCCUGCAAAAGGAUCGAAGAGUGGAAACUAUUGUUGGAGCGAGUUGGUUUUUACCUCAACAGCGCCACCUUUCGGCAAAGGUUUCUUUCCAAGGGUAUCAUUUAGAUGGGGGCGUGUGUGUAGGGUGGGGUAGGGGGCAAAGUGAAGAAGGCCCUAGGCUUUCCGUACACUGUUUGGAUUGGAUGAUCUUGACGUGAAAUGUGAAUUCUGGAAAAACCUGUAAUUAGUGAUCUCUGCCUUUGUAGAGAACCAUGAUAACAAGUAAAUUAGCACUGGAAGAAUUUGGGGGUUUAUCAUAUUUUUGUUUCAAUUAUUUGCUUAUUUGUUUUUGUCUCUGCAGGUUUCUUCCUUGGAAAACAAUAUACAUCACUUAAUGAAAUCUUUGUUUGUUUUGCACAAGAGAUGUAAAAAAUCCAGAUGUUUUCUUCAGUGAGAAUUCCUGGGAAGGUGUACCAGCCUUCUUCUCUUUCUUCACCUGACAAAGACACCCAACACGGCCUCUCAGACCGGAGGUGUUUAAUAUAUAGUUUUGACACGCAUGAACAUGGGAAUGAAAGGGCUCCUUUUGGUUUUAGACAAUAGACAGAGCUAUAAAAUGAUGAUGGAGCCUGUUUUCCCCACUCUUGUCAUUUUAAGUCAAUAGAUUUCCUGGGUUUCUUCCCCCGCCCCCCCACUUUGCCUUUUCAGGGGAUAGGCAUCUCCUUAGAUUUUUGUUUUUCUUCACUUAGGGUCAGCUUUAUGAUUCGUUCUUCUGCUGUCAUCCUUUUUCAUCCUAUUCACAGCCUGUACCGGUGAGGGAAUUUGUCUCAAAAGCAUUCAGCCCUUCAAAGAUUUUUAUUGUGGUGAACUCAGAACUGAUAAACAGAAAAACAGAAACAGAAAAAGGGAACUGAUAUGGGGGCGAUCUUGAUGCGGGUUGUGUCUCUCAUGCAUGAUAACUCAGAGGACAGGCUCCUCGGUAGUGCGGUAGUGCUAACUCUGUGAAGUUUCUUCACCCUCCUUCCUAGCCCUGGAGGCGGGGUGAUUCAUAGCUCCUGUUCCAAAGGCAUUCAGCAGCCAUUCGACCUGGGAAAGAAACAGAGUUUUAGAAAAUACAGGCCAAAUGUAGAGACGCCUGUGAUUACCAGGAUGAGUAUGUCAGUGCAGGUGGCUUCUGAAUUUCUGUUUCUGAGUUUGUUUGGCUGAUGCCUAAGGAAAGGGGUCCCUUACAGCCCUGUUUUAUACCUUAGUUCUUGGUGGCAACGUGGGUGUUGCUGAUCUCUCUGAUGUGUUUUUCUGUGCACUGAAAACACCAGACAUGCUCCGUGACAUCCUCGGAGCAUCUCCCAUCAUAAUGGAGUGUUCCUAACCUGACAAAGAAUAGCAUAUUACCUCCCCAUCUACUCAAAAUAAAAUUAUAGUAAAAUUUAUCGCCCUUCUGCUAAUAUUUUUUAUUUAGUAACUUUAUAACAGUGAUACAUACUCCUUAUUAAAUAUAAACAUUUGAACAGGACAGAAAUAGAAGGAUAUUCAAUAAAAGAACUGCUACUCCUCAUCUCCACCCCAGUCCUUAAACCCUGGUCUCGGGGGUUACCAUCUGUAAUAGUUGGGGUAUAUGUGGGUACUUUUUACAGAAUGGCAUCGAAGCAUGUACAUAGUUCUUUAACUUGUGCUCCCUUUAAAACACAUUCAUGUUAACAAUCUCAGAAAGAGAUGUUGGGCACUUCUGUCUUCUUUGGCAGAACUCGCCUAAUGGAACCUCAGACCGGGGGAAGUUUGGAGAUCUGAUCUUAACCUCGUCCUUCCAACCGGUAUAGGAGCUUGAAUCUGCUUUAGAUCACCAACUUCCCUGCCAUUUCCUGACGCCAAUUUUGAAGCCAGGGGGCUCAGAGGCAUUUUCUUCAACAGAAGAGUUCAGAGUUUCAGUGUCCACCUUUGAGCUGCAACUAGUCCCUCAGUGGUGUAAAUAUGCAUGCUGCUGCAGAAUCUCCUGUUCCAGGAUCCCACCUCGACCCCUUUCAGAGAAAUCUGGGAAUGAGAGAAGGAACCGGCCCAGGAGUGAUUUAUGACCUGCUGUCUGUGUCCUGCCUGAGGAAGCAUGGCUCUGGCUGUUUGAAGCAGACCCAGACUGGGAUCCUCAGAGAUUGGAAGGAGUGAUGGGGACCCUUCAGGAAAAUGUCACCGACCGUUGACUCUCAGCUCAGCUCGAAGCUGCUGAUGAGGGGGUAGGCUUGGUUGCUGUCACAGUGAUGUGAGCUCAGGCAGUUGGGGUUGGGGAAGAGGGACCAGCCAGGAGACAAAGCAUCUGAGUUCAGC
rnacentral:lncRNA from 1 species